UUUUUACUGUGAAAGUUUACAAUGUCGACAUCGAAAUUUGCUAUAUUUUGUAUUGUUCUCAUUUGUCUUGCUAGUCUUCAUGAAUGUAUGUCAUAUAUAGCAUAUGUUCCAUCCAAUCCUCUAGCAUCAUUACCAUUAAAUUAAUAUUAAUAUACUCCAUCAUCUUUUAAUUUUGUUUUAUUCUUUAAACUUUCUGCAGGUGCCAACCCCGAAAAAAAGCCCAAAGGAACAUGCUCUAAAACACCAAAGAAUGUUUGGUGUUGCAGUUCCACUACACACUGCCGAAGCACCAAAGCGGAUUGUGAGAAGAUGUGUAUCUGGUAGUAUCUGGGGCCGUUGAAUUUUACCAAAGAGAAUUUCAAUAAUUAUAUAUUCCCAUUAUUUUCAUAAUUCUAUUAUUCAAAAUUUAAAGAAUAAAUAGAAAUUCCUAUUCCACAGGAGCAGCUAGUAUUAUGUACUAAAUGUUUUGGAAUUUCUUUGUAAGAUCAAUAUAUAUAGUUGUAACUUUCUUCAAUUUUAUUUAAGAAGUUUAUAAAUUUUAUAGAAAAUGAGAAUAAAACCACUGUACCUGUUUAACUGAAAUUUAAAUGUUGUAAGUACUUUGUAAAUUAAAUAAAAUAAAAAUACAUCACUUCAAAAUAUAUUAUAAAUUAUAUAAAUUAAUUAAUUAACACAAAAAUUAACAAUUUUCACCAUUCUCGGACUUGGCCGAUUCAAAAUAUAACACAAUUGUUUAAGAUAAUAAGAUAAUGUACUGUAAUCCAUAAGGGUGUAGGUCUUCUCAAACACUAAAAUUUUAUAAUAAAAAUUAAUAUAUAAUUUUUUUAUAAAUAUAACCAAAACAUUGUUUUGUUUCCACCAUGAACUUAAUCGCUAAUUAUGCUUAACCAUUCACAACAUUUUGAUAUGGUUUUAUCACUUUACUUGUAAAACACAUUUGCAUUAUAUAAUCCAUAUCUUAUAUACAUCAAAUUAUUUAACAAGAAAAAGUUGAAAGCCAAAGGUAAGAUUAAUUAAUAUAUAAGCCAAGAAAAAAUGAUUUUUUAUUUGACAUAAAUAAUUUAUUUAAUAUAUGAAAGACAAAACUGAUUUUUAUUCUAAACAAAUAAUAUAUCAUAUUUACACCAUUACUAAUAACAUAAUUUUCAGUUAUUUAUACAAUAACUGAAAACACAUAAUUUUUAGUUCAUGUAAUAUGCAUCUUACAUGAAACAAUAUAUUGUUGUUAUGAACAAGGUUAUUAAUGAGAAAGGUUUUUCAUUGAAUUUAACCAUGAGGCUUCAAUAAUGCUUACGAUAUUACUGACAUUGUGAUCAUGUUUUAUCUUGGAAAAUGGUGGUUUAUAGCACUAUUAUUAUUAUUAAAUUAUUCUCACGUAAAAUAUGUCAUUUUGAAAACUAAUAAAUAAUAUAAUGGCUACAUAGGCGUUAGUUCAUAUUAGAAACAUAACUUUAAUUAUUAUUUUUUUCUCUUAUGAUAGUCCUUACAAUAUUUUAAUUAUCAUAUAUAAUUCUUACGUAUAUCUAUGUUUGGAAAAUAAUAAUAAAAAUAUUUUUCUUUAUUUAUUUCACCAUAAAAAUACUUUUUGGUAAAUUAGAACUUUUAAGUAAAUUAGUACCUACAAUAACUUUUAACUUCAAUCAGUAUAUGCCCGACUUUCAUAAUAUAUAUAGAUAAAUCCAUUAAGAAUCGAAGACUCUAUUUUUCCAUCUAAAAUAAAUUAGUAAAAAAAAAAUAUAGUAGCUACUCUUUGCUAAUUUAAUUUGGCCGCAUCUUUAAGCUUUUAAAGUUACCCAUAUAUAUUUACAUAUGGCUGUACUUUUAGGUGGUGAUAUAUCCUAUCAAAAAAAUAAAAUGAAAAUUUUGGAACUUUUUAACAUAAAUAUAUUAAAAUAUAAGGAGAAUAAAAGUAACCAAUAAUUAUAUUUUCAGAUUCUUCGGAUUAUCAUACGAAACAUUUUCAGGGACAUAUAUACAUCUUCACAUAUAAGGAUAUCGAUAAGAAAUUAGUAAAUGCUAAAAUUGGUAGCUAAUCUAUCGCUAGUUUAUUUUAUCCACAUAUUUAAUCGUUCAACGUUACAUAUAUAUAUAUAUGGUUGUCGUUAAUAGGUAUUUUUAAGUGCUGACUUAUUGUAUCAAAAACGAAAAUGAAUAUUUUAAAUAAAAUUUAACAAAAAUAUUUUAGGAUAUAAAGAAAAUAAAACUAACCAAUCAAUUGAAAACAGUUUUUCUGGAUAAUUCUAAAAAUAGUCCUCAAAGACCUAUAUAUAUGUAUAUGUUCAUACGUAAGGUUUCCUAAAAUACACACAAAAAGCAAUUUUUUACUGUGAAAGUUUACAAUGUCGGCAUCGAAAUUUGCUAUAUUUUGUAUUGUUCUCAUUUGUCUUGCUAGUCUUCAUGAAUGUAUGUCAUAUAUAGCAUAUGUUCCAUCCAAUCCUCUAGCAUCAUUACCAUUAAAUUAAUAUUAAUAUACUCCAUCAUCUUUUAAUUUUGUUUUAUUCUUUAAACUUUCUGCAGGUGUCAACCCGGAAAGAAAGCCCAAAGGAACAUGCUCUAAAACACCAAAUAAUGUUUGGUGUUGCAGUUCCACUACACACUGCCGAAGCACCAAAGCAGAUUGUGAGAAGAUGUGUAUCUGGUAGUAUAUGGGGCCGUUGAGUUUUACCAAAGAGAAUUUCAAUAAUUAUAUAUUUCAAUUAUUUUCAUAAUUCUAUUAUUCAAAAUUUAAAGAAUAAAUAGAAAUUCCUAUUCCACAGGAGCAGCUAGUAUUAUGUACUAAAUGUUUUGGAAUUUCUUUGAAAGAUCAAUAUAUAUAGUUGUAACUUUCUUCAAUUUUAUUUAAGAAGUUUAUAAAUUUUAUAGAAAAUGAGAAUAAAACCACUGUACCUGUUUAACUGAAAUUUAAAUGUUGUAAGUACUUUGUAAAUUAAAUUAAAUAAAAAUACAUCACUUCAAAAUAUAUUAUAAAUUAUAUAAAUUAAUUAAUUAACACAUAAAUUAACAAUUUUCACCAUUCUCGGAUUUGACCGAUUCAAAAUAUAACACAAUUGUUUAAGAUAAUAAGAUAACGUUCUGUAAUCCAUAAGGGUGUGGGUCUUCUCAAACACUAAAAUUUUAUAAUAAAAGUUAAUAUAUAAAUUUUUUAUAAAUAUAACCAAAACAUUGUUUUGUUUCCACCAUGAACUUAAUCGCUAAUUAUUCUUAACCAUUCACAACAUUUUGAUAUGGUUUUAUCACUUUACUUGUAAAACACAUAUGCACUAUAUAAUCCAUAACUUAUAUACAUCAAAUUAUUUAACAAAAAAAAGUUGAAACCCAAAGUUAAGAUUAAUUAAUACAUAAGCCAAGAAAAAUUAUUUUUUAUUUGACAUAAAUAAUUUAUUUAAUAUUUGAAUGACAAAACUGAUUUUUUUCUAAACAAAUAAUAUAUCAUAUUUACACCAUUACUAAUUACAUAAUUUUUUAUUUUACAAUAACUGAAAACACAUAACUUGGUGUUUAUGUAUCUUAGAUGAAACAAUAUAUUAUUGUUAUGAACAAAGUUAUUAAUGAGAAAGGUUUUUCAUUGAAUUUAACCAUGAGGCUUCAAUAAUGCUUACGAUAUUACUGACAUUGCGAUCAUGUUUUAUCUUGGAAAACGGUGGUUUAUAGCACUAUUAUUAUUAUUAAAUUAUUCUCACGUAAAAUAUGUCAUUUUGAAAACAAUAAAUAAUAUAAUGGCUACCUAGGCGUUAGUUCAUAUUAGAUACAUAAUUUUUUUUUCUCUUAUGAUAGUCCUUACAAUAUUUUGAUUAUCAUAUAUAUUUCCUACGUAUAUCUAUGUUUGGAAAAUAAUAAUAAAAAUAUUUUUCUUUAUUUAUUUCACCAUAAAAAUACUUUUUGGUAAAUUAGAACUGUUAAGUAAAUUAGUACCUACAAUAACAUUUCACUUCAAUCAUUAUAUGUCCGACUUUCAUAAUAUAUAUAGAUGAAUCCAUUAAGAAUCGAAGACUCUAUUUUUCCAUCUAAAAUAAAUUAGAAAAAAAAAAUAUAGUAGCUACUCUUUGCUAAUUUAAUUUGGCUGCAUCUUUAGCUUUUAAAGUUACCCAUAUAUAUAUACAUAUGGCUGUACUUUUAGGUGGUGAUAUAUCCUAUCAAAAAAUAAAAUGAAAAUUUUGGAACUUUUUAACAUAAAUUUAUUAAAGUAAAAGGAUAAUAAAAGUAACCAAUAACUAUAUUUUCAGAUUCUUCGGAUUAUCAUGCGAAACAUUUUCAGGUACAUAUAUACAUGUUCACAUAUAAGGAUAUCGAUAAGAAAUUAGUAAAUGCUAAAAUUGGUAGCUAAUCUAUUGGUAGUUUAUUUUAUCCACAUAUUUAAUCGUUCAACGUUACAUAUAUAUAUAUGGUUGUCGUUAAUAGGUAUUUUUAGGUGCUGACUUAUUGUAUCAAAAACGAAAAUGAAUAUUUUAAAUAAAAUUUAACAAAAAUAUUUUAGGAUAUAAAGAAAAUAAAACUAACCAAUCAAUUGAAAACAGUUUUUCUGGAUAAUUCUAAAAAUAGUCAUCAAAGACCUAUAUAUAUGUAUAUGUUCAUACGUAAGGUUUCCUAAAAUACACACACAAAGCAUUUUUUUACUGUGAAAGUUUACAAUGUCGGCAUCGAAAUUUGCUAUAUUUUGUAUUGUUCUCAUUUGUCUUGCUAGUCUUCAUGAAUGUAUGUCUAUAUAGCAUAUGUUCCAUCCAAUCCUCUAGCAUCAUUACCAUUAAAUUAAUAUUAAUAUACUCCAUCAUCUUUUAAUUUUGUUUUAUUCUUUAAACUUUCUGCAGGUGCCAACCCGGAAAAAAAGCCCAAAGGAACAUGCUCUAAAACACCAAAGAAUGUUUGGUGUUGCAGUUCCACUACACACUGCCGAAGCACCAAGGCAGAUUGUGAGAAGAUAUGUAUCUGGUAGUAUCUGGGGCCGUUGAAUUUUAUCAAAGAGAAUUUCAAUAAUUAUAUAUUCCACUUAUUUUCAUAAUUCUAUUAUUCAAAAUUUAAAUAAUAAAUAGAAAUUCCUAUUCCACAGGAGCAGCUAGUAUUAUGUACUAAAUGUUUUGGAAUUUCUUUGAAAGAUCAAUAUAUAUAUAUAGUUGUCUUUCUAACUUUCUUCAAUUGUAUUUGAGAAGUUUAUAAAUUUUAUAGAAAAUGAGAAUAAAACCAUUGUACCUGUUUAACUGAAAUUUAAAUGUUGUAUGUACUUUGUAAAUUAAAUAAAAU
rnacentral:lncRNA from 1 species